AGACUUUGAUUAUGGCUCAGAACGAACGCUGGCGGCAGGCCUAACACAUGCAAGUCGAACGCGUGCCUUCGGGCACGAGUGGCGGACGGGUGAGUAACGCGUGGGAAUUUGCCUUGGGGUACGGAAUAACCGCGGGAAACUGCGGCUAAUACCGUAUACGUCCUUCGGGAGAAAGAUUUAUCGCCCCAAGAUGAGCCCGCGUCCGAUUAGGUAGUUGGUGAGGUAACGGCUCACCAAGCCUUCGAUCGGUAGCUGGUCUGAGAGGAUGAUCAGCCACACUGGGACUGAGACACGGCCCAGACUCCUACGGGAGGCAGCAGUGGGGAAUAUUGGACAAUGGGGGAAACCCUGAUCCAGCCAUGCCGCGUGAGUGAAGAAGGCCUUAGGGUUGUAAAGCUCUUUCGGUGGUGACGAUGAUGACGGUAGCCACAGAAGAAGCCCCGGCUAACUCCGUGCCAGCAGCCGCGGUAAUACGGAGGGGGCAAGCGUUGUUCGGAAUUACUGGGCGUAAAGGGCGCGUAGCGGAUGAUCAAGUCAGAGUGAAAGCCCUGGGCUCAACUAGGAGGUGCCUUUUGAACUGAUUGUCUUGAGUCCGGGAGAGGAUAGCGGCAAUUCCCA
rnacentral:rRNA from 1 species